CAUAUACUCCCUCCGUUCGAAAUUACUUGUCUCGAAAAUGGAUGUAUCUAGAACUAAAAUACGUUUAGAUACAUUCAUUUUUGCAACAACUAAUUCCGAACGAAAGGAGUACGUG
rfam:Triticum aestivum genome assembly, contig: Triticum_aestivum_CS42_TGACv1_scaffold_514952_6BS